GUGAAUCAAUUUAAUUUGAAAAUUUUAAUUAAUUAUUAUAAUAAUUUUUAAAAAAAAUAUUUUUUAUUUUUAUUAUUAUUUUUAGAAAAAAUUAUUUUUAUUAUAGUUUACUAUGUAUAGUGAUAGAAAUUAUUAAAAAAUAAAAAAGAAGAAUUUAUUUUUUGUACCUUGUGUAUCAGGGUUUAUUAAUUAAAUUUUGUUUAUAGUAAAUUUCUCGAUUUUAAAAGAGUAAAUUAUUUAUAUAUUUUAUUAUAAAAUAAAUAUUUAAAAUAAAUAAUUGGUAAUGAAAUGUUAUUCGAUUUUAAAGAUAUCUAGUUAUUAAAGAAAAAAAUUAAAUUUUAUUAAUACAAAUAUUAAUAUUUAUUUUAAAAUGUUUAUUUUGUGUUUAUUAUAUUAUUUGGGAUAAGCUAGGUAAUUGACAAUUAAAAAUUAAUAUUAAAUUUUAUUAAGUUGUAGAAUUAGAAAUUUUCAUCUAAUAGUUUGUUAUAAUUAAUUAAUAAUUAAAUAAAAAUUUAUAUUUAUUUUAAUUUUUUUAUUUAAUUAAAAAAUUUAAUUAGAAAAUUUUAGGAAUUAUGAUAAAAUUAGUAUAACAUUUUGUAUAGUAUAUUUGAUUUUUUUAGGUUAUAAAAAGGAAUUCGGCAAAUUUAUUUUUCGCCUGUUUAUUAAAAACAUGUCUUUUUGAAUUUAAUUUAAAGUCUAGCCUGCCCAAUGAGGUAUUUAAUGGCCGCAGUAUUUUGACUGUGCAAAGGUAGCAUAAUCAUUAGUUUCUUAAUUAGGAACUGGAAUGAAUGGUUGGACGAGAAAAUAACUGUCUCUUUAUAAAUUAUUUAGAAUUUUAUUAUUAAGUUAAAAAGCUUAAAUUUAUUUAAAAGACGAGAAGACCCUAUAGAGUUUUAUAUAAUUAGUAAUAAUAAGUUAAAUAGGAAUUUUUAAAUAUUAUUAAUUAUUAUAUUUGGUUGGGGUGAUUAAAAAAUUUAUUUAACUUUUUUUAUUUAUAAACAUUAAUUUAUGAUUUAUUGAUCCAAUUUUAUUGAUUAAAAGAUUAAAUUACCUUAGGGAUAACAGCGUUAUUUCUUUUAAGAGUUCAAAUCGAUAAAGAAGUUUGCGACCUCGAUGUUGGAUUAAAAUUAAAUUUUGGUGUAGCAGCUAAAAUAUUAGGUCUGUUCGACCUUUAAAAUUUUACAUGAUCUGAGUUUAAACCGGUGUGAGCCAGGUUGGUUUCUAUCUUUAAAUUAUUAUAAUAUUAUAGUACGAAAGGACCUAAUAUUAAUAAAAUUUAUUAAAAAUUGAAUAUGUUUAAUAAAUUAUUAUUUUGGCAGAUUAGUGCUUUAAAUUUAGAAUUUAAUUAUGUAAUUUAUAUUAC
rnacentral:rRNA from 1 species